UUUGUUUGAGCUGUAAGUUUUGGAGGUUUUUAAAAAACUACUGCUGAAUUUUUUCUGAAAAGUUAAUAAUAAUUUGUAGAUGUGUUCAGGUUUCUAAGCUCAAAAAGUUAUGAAAAAAAUUCAAAAAACUGAGCUCUUCAGCUUUGUAUGUAAACUCAACUUUUUCUAAUCUGUCUUUCCGGAACCUCUAGCAGGAAGUCCAAACCAACAGGCUUUAG
rnacentral:lncRNA from 1 species